rnacentral:lncRNA from 1 species
AAAAUAACAAAGACGAUCUUCAUACUCCAGUUAAUGAUGUUCAAAGUAAAGCAACUGCAAAACCAAAAUCCACGAGAAACAAAACCGGCAAAGGACAACGGAAAGCAGCGUCAGAAGUGAGGUCCAUGAGCAGAAGGAAAACUGGCACAACUGCAGAAUGCGGCAGUGCAAGUGGUGAUGAGAUUCCAGAAUCUGUCCCAGCGUCCAGUUCAAGGCCUUCAAGACGAGCAAAAACGGUGGCACUUGAAAAAACGAGAAUGAAUCUUUCAAGACUUUUGAGUAGAGAAGCAGAUCAGUGAAGACAAAAGGAGAGAAGGUGUCCUUUGCUGCUGCUGGUAGUUAACAUCAGUCUUGAAACAUAAGAUUUGUUUUGUUGUUAGCCAUAUUUGACUCUUUUUAUACUAUGAUCAUUUAUAAUUCUAGAAUUUUCUAUGAACUUUUAAAUUCUUUUUCAAAUAGAUGAAUUUGAUGAUUUUCCCCAAUAUGAAGUCCAUCAUUCAUGUAAUAAAACCAUAUUAAAAU